GAUGAACGCUGGCGGCGUGCCUAAUACAUGCAAGUCGAGCGAACAGACGAGGAGCUUGCUCCUCUGACGUUAGCGGCGGACGGGUUAGUAACACGUGGAUAACCUACCUAUAAGACUGGGAUAACUUCGGGAAACCGGAGCUAAUACCGGAUAAUAUAUUGAACCGCAUGGUUCAAUAGUGAAAGACGGUUUUGCUGUCACUUAUAGAUGGAUCCGCGCCGCAUUAGCUAGUUGGUAAGGUAACGGCUUACCAAGGCAACGAUGCGUAGCCGACCUGAGAGGGUGAUCGGCCACACUGGAACUGAGACACGGUCCAGACUCCUACGGGAGGCAGCAGUAGGGAAUCUUCCGCAAUGGGCGAAAGCCUGACGGAGCAACGCCGCGUGAGUGAUGAAGGUCUUCGGAUCGUAAAACUCUGUUAUUAGGGAAGAACAAAUGUGUAAGUAACUAUGCACGUCUUGACGGUACCUAAUCAGAAAGCCACGGCUAACUACG
rnacentral:rRNA from 1 species